CCUGAACGCUGGCGGCGUGGCUAAGACAUGCAAGUCGCACGGAGUAGCAAUACUCAGUGGCGAACGGGAGAGUAAUGAAUCGCUAAUGUACCCCGGACUCUGGGAUAGCUACCCGAAAGGGUAGGUAAUACCAGAUGAUAUAACUUUUAGGCAUCUAAGAGUUCUCAAAGGUCCGCCGGUCUGGGAGCAGGCGAUUUCGUAUCAGCUAGUUGGUGAGGUAACGGCNCACCAAGGCGACGACGCGUAGCCGGACUGAGAGGUUGGCCGGCCUCAUUGGGACUGAGACACUGCCCAGACUCCUACGGGGGGCUGCAGUAACGAAUCUUCCGCAAUGCACGAAAGUGUGACGGAGCGACGCCGCGUGUGGGACGAAGCCCUU
rnacentral:rRNA from 1 species